rnacentral:rRNA from 1 species
UACGGGGGGGGCAAGCGUUAUUCGGAAUCACUGGGCUUACAGAGUUCGUAGGCGGUACGGAAAGUGGGGUGUGAAAGCCCUCGGCUCAACCGAGGAACUGCGCUCCAAACUACCGUGCUAGAGGAAGAUAGAGGUGAGCAGAACUGAUGGUGGAGCGGUGAAAUGCGUUGAUAUCAUCAGGAAUACCGGAGGCGAAGGCGGCUCACUGGGUCUUUUCUGACGCUGAGGAACGAAAGCUAGGGGAGCAAACGGG